CGAGAGGUGGUAACUCCAUCUAAGGCUAAAUAUAACCAUGAAGACCGAUAGCGAACAAGUACUCGUGAAGGGAAAAGUUGAAAAGAACUUUGAAGAGAGAGUUCAAGAGUACGUGAAACCGCUCAGGGGUAAACGGAAAAGACCUAAAUAUCCGAAAGGGGAGAUUCACGUCUUACCAUUUGCUCAGCUUUUAAAUGUUUAGAGAUGGUCUUUCGCCCUAUCUAGUAUUUUACUGUGAUGGUGGGUUUGGUCGCUCGCAUUUAAUUAGCUAGAGUAAUGGUGGACCGCACUUCUCCUUUAGUAGGACGUUGCGACCUGUUAAAUAAUACUUUAAGUAUAAUUAAAAUGUCUGUUUUUAAGUUAUACUGAAAAGUGUGCUUUUUUUAACAGUUUUAAUUAAUUGUAUACAGAGUAUUUAUUUUAACAGUAACAAAUGAUGGUGUUGAGCCACUUGAAGUUUUUAAUUAAUUUUUUAAUUAAUAAUGGAUAAGUGUCUUUUUUUUGGCCUUUUUCCAGUGGGGUGAAUUUUAAUGGAAUGAUUAAACCUUAUAAGCCGGCCUAAAAUGGCCCCCACCGGUGGUAAAUUUUAAAAUUUGACCGUGCUUACCACACCUGGCAACAACCAUCUAAGUUUAAGCUCCUAUCCCAACCGUCUAAAGGGGGGGGCACACAAAAAAAUGGAU
rnacentral:rRNA from 1 species